AUACGGAGGGUGCAAGCGUUGUCCGGAUUUAUUGGGUUUAAAGGGUGUGUAGGCGGUGUAUUAAGUCAGUGGUGAAAGCCUGCGGCUCAACCGUAGAACUGCCAUUGAUACUGACACACUUGAGUUUGGUUGAGGUAGGCGGAAUUUAUGGUGUAGCGGUGAAAUGCAUAGAUACCAUAAAGAACACCGAUAGCGAAGGCAGCUUACUAAGCCGAAACUGACGCUGCGGCACGAAAGCGUGGGGAGCGAACAGGAUUAGAUACCCUAGUAGUCC
rnacentral:rRNA from 1 species